rnacentral:rRNA from 1 species
GGCGGGGUAACGGCCCACCAAGGCAACGAUCAGUAGGGGUUCUGAGAGGAAGGUCCCCCACAUUGGAACUGAGACACGGUCCAAACUCCUACGGGAGGCAGCAGUGAGGAAUAUUGGUCAAUGGACGAGAGUCUGAACCAGCCAAGUAGCGUGCAGGAUGACGGCCCUAUGGGUUGUAAACUGCUUUUAUAAGGGAAUAAAGUGAGUCUCGUGAGACUUUUUGCAUGUACCUUAUGAAUAAGGACCGGCUAAUUCCGUGCCAGCAGCCGCGGUAAUACGGAAGGUCCGGGCGUUAUCCGGAUUUAUUGGGUUUAAAGGGAGCGUAGGCCGGAGAUUAAGCGUGUUGUGAAAUGUAGACGCUCAACGUCUGCACUGCAGCGCGAACUGGUUUCCUUGAGUACGCACAAAGUGGGCGGAAUUCGUGGUGUAGCGGUGAAAUGCUUAGAUAUCACGAAGAACUCCGAUUGCGAAGGCAGCUCACUGGAGCGCAACUGACGCUGAAGCUCGAAAGUGCGGGUAUCGAACAGGAUUAGAUACCCUGGUAGUCCGCACGGUAAACGAUGGAUGCCCGCUGUUGGUCUGAAUAGGUCAGCGGCCAAGCGAAAGCAUUAAGCAUCCCACCUGGGG